rnacentral:rRNA from 1 species
ACGUAGGGUGCAAGCGUUAAUCGGAAUUACUGGGCGUAAAGCGUGCGCAGGCGGUGAUGUAAGACAGGUGUGAAAUCCCCGGGCUUAACCUGGGAACUGCAUUUGUGACUGCAUCGCUGGAGUGCGGCAGAGGGGGAUGGAAUUCCGCGUGUAGCAGUGAAAUGCGUAGAUAUGCGGAGGAACACCGAUGGCGAAGGCAAUCCCCUGGGCCUGCACUGACGCUCAUGCACGAAAGCGUGGGGAGCAAA